AACGAACGCUGGCGGCAUGCCUAACACAUGCAAGUCGAACGAGACCUUCGGGUCUAGUGGCGCACGGGUGCGUAACGCGUGGGAUCCUGCCCUUAGGUUCGGAAUAACUCCCCGAAAGGGGUGCUAAUACCGGAUAAUGUCUUCGGACCAAAGAUUUAUCGCCUUUGGAUGGGCCCGCGUUGGAUUAGCUAGUUGGUAGGGUAAAAGCCUACCAAGGCGACGAUCCAUAGCUGGUCUGAGAGGAUGAUCAGCCACACUGGGACUGAGACACGGCCCAGACUCCUACGGGAGGCAGCAGUGGGGAAUAUUGGACAAUGGGCGAAAGCCUGAUCCAGCAAUGCCGCGUGAGUGAUGAAGGCCUUAGGGUUGUAAAGCUCUUUUACCCGGGAUGAUAAUGACAGUACCGGGAGAAUAAGCUCCGGCUAACUCCGU
rnacentral:rRNA from 1 species